rnacentral:lncRNA from 1 species
GGUAGAUAUAUACGUUACGGAGCAGCAGGUAGAUAUAUACGUUACGGAGCAGCAGGUAGAUAUAUACGUUAUGUAGCAGCAGGUACAUAUAUACGGUUAUGUAGCAGCAGGUAGAUAUAUAUGUAAUGUAGCAGCAGGUAGAUAUAUACAGUUAUGUAGCAGCAGUGGAAUGGUCCAAUGUUACUUAAAACACUCAUCUGACAGACCUAAAUUAUGAAAUAAUU